GAGUAAUGUCUGGGAAACUGCCUGAUGGAGGGGGAUAACUACUGGAAACGGUGGCUAAUACCGCAUAACGUCGCAAGACCAAAGAGGGGGACCUUCGGGCCUCUUGCCAUCAGAUGUGCCCAGAUGGGAUUAGCUUGUUGGUGAGGUAACGGCUCACCAAGGCGACGAUCCCUAGCUGGUCUGAGAGGAUGACCAGCCACACUGGAACUGAGACACGGUCCAGACUCCUACGGGAGGCAGCAGUGGGGAAUAUUGCACAAUGGGCGCAAGCCUGAUGCAGCCAUGCCGCGUGUAUGAAGAAGGCCUUCGGGUUGUAAAGUACUUUCAGCGGGGAGGAAGGUGUUGUGGUUAAUAACCGCAGCAAUUGACGUUACCCGCAGAAGAAGCACCGGCUAACUCCGUGCCAGCAGCCGCGGUAAUACGGAGGGUGCAAGCGUUAAUCGGAAUUACUGGGCGUAAAGCGCACGCAGGCGGUCUGUCAAGUCGGAUGUGAAAUCCCCGGGCUCAACCUGGGAACUGCAUUCGAAACUGGCAGGCUUGAGUCUUGUAGAGGGGGGUAGAAUUCCAGGUGUAGCGGUGAAAUGCGUAGAGAUCUGGAGGAAUACCGGUGGCGAAGGCGGCCCCCUGGACAAAGACUGACGCUCAGGUGCGAAAGCGUGGGGAGCAAACAGGAUUAGAUACCCUGGUAGUCCACGCCGUAAACGAUGUCUACUUGGAGGUUGUGCCCUUGAGGCGUGGCUUCCGGAGCUAACGCGUUAAGUAGACCGCCUGGGGAGUACGGCCGCAAGGUUAAAACUCAAAUGAAUUGACGGGGGCCCGCACAAGCGGUGGAGCAUGUGGUUUAAUUCGAUGCAACGCGAAGAACCUUACCUGGUCUUGACAUCCACGGAAGAAUUCAGAGAUGGAUUUGUGCCUUCGGGAACCGUGAGACAGGUGCUGCAUGGCUGUCGUCAGCUCGUGUUGUGAAAUGUUGGGUUAAGUCCCGCAACGAGCGCAACC
rnacentral:rRNA from 1 species